rnacentral:tRNA from 1 species
GCCGCUGUGGCUUAGUGGUAUAGCGAUUGAUUCGUAAUCAAUAGGUCGGGGGUUCAAAUCCCUCCAGCGGCU